GACGUAGGGAGCAAGCGUUGUCCGGAAUUACUGGGCGUAAAGAGCUCGUAGGCGGGACCGUAAGUCCGAGAGGAAAUCUCAAGGCUCAACUUUGGGGCUUUCUUGGAUACUGCGGUUCUUGAGGAUAUCAGAGGAAAGUAGAAUUCCCGGUGUAGCGGUGAAAUGCGUAGAUAUCGGGAGGAAUACCAGUGGCGAAGGCGACUUUCUGGGAUAUUCCGUGACGCGUGAGGAGCG
rnacentral:rRNA from 1 species